CCGGAGAAUGUUAUCACGGGAGACACACGGCGGGUGCUAACGUCCGUCGUGAAGAGGGAAACAACCCAGACCGCCAGCUAAGGUCCCAAAGUCAUGGUUAAGUGGGAAACGAUGUGGGAAGGCCCAGACAGCCAGGAUGUUGGCUUAGAAGCAGCCAUCAUUUAAAGAAAGCGUAAUAGCUCACUGGUCGAGUCGGCCUGCGCGGAAGAUGUAACGGGGCUAAACCAUGCACCGAAGCUGCGGCAGCGAACGUAUCACCCAAGACAACUUUACGGAGUUGACGAUUGACGGAGCGAAGCGACGUCAAAGCGUUCAUUAAAGUCGAGUUGGCUUAGGGAUACGUUCGUUGGGUAGGGGAGCGUUCUGUAAGCCUGUGAAGGUGUGUCGUGAGGCAUGCUGGAGGUAUCAGAAGUGCGAAUGCUGACAUAAGUAACGAUAAAGCGGGUGAAAAGCCCGCUCGCCGGAAGACCAAGGGUUCCUGUCCAACGUUAAUCGGGGCAGGGUGAGUCGACCCCUAAGGCGAGGCCGAAAGGCGUAGUCGAUGGGAAACGGGUUAAUAUUCCCGUACUUGGUGUUACUGCGAAGGGGGGACGGAGAAGGCUAUGUUGGCCGGGCGACGGUUGUCCCGGUUUAAGCGUGUAGGUGUGUGUUCCAGGUAAAUCCGGUUCACUUUAACACUGAGGCGUGACGACGAGGCACUACGGUGCUGAAGCAACAAAUGCCCUGCUUCCAGGAAAAGCCUCUAAGCAUCAGGUAACACGAAAUCGUACCCCAAACCGACACAGGUGGUCAGGUAGAGAAUACCAAGGCGCUUGAGAGAACUCGGGUGAAGGAACUAGGCAAAAUGGUGCCGUAACUUCGGGAGAAGGCACGCUGACACGUAGGUGAAGUGAUUUACUCAUGGAGCUGAAGUCAGUCGAAGAUACCAGCUGGCUGCAACUGUUUAUUAAAAACACAGCACUGUGCAAACACGAAAGUGGACGUAUACGGUGUGACGCCUGCCCGGUGCCGGAAGGUUAAUUGAUGGGGUCAGCGCAAGCGAAGCUCCUGAUCGAAGCCCCGGUAAACGGCGGCCGUAACUAUAACGGUCCUAAGGUAGCGAAAUUCCUUGUCGGGUAAGUUCCGACCUGCACGAAUGGCGUAAUGAUGGCCAGGCUGUCUCCACCCGAGACUCAGUGAAAUUGAACUCGCUGUGAAGAUGCAGUGUACCCGCGGCAAGACGGAAAGACCCCGUGAACCUUUACUAUAGCUUGACACUGAACAUUGAGCCUUGAUGUGUAGGAUAGGUGGGAGGCUUUGAAGUGUGGACGCCAGUCUGCAUGGAGCCGACCUUGAAAUACCACCCUUUAAUGUUUGAUGUUCUAACGUGGACCCGUAAUCCGGGUUGCGGACAGUGUCUGGUGGGUAGUUUGACUGGGGCGGUCUCCUCCUAAAGAGUAACGGAGGAGCACGAAGGUUGGCUAAUCCUGGUCGGACAUCAGGAGGUUAGUGCAAUGGCAUAAGCCAGCUUGACUGCGAGCGUGACGGCGCGAGCAGGUGCGAAAGCAGGUCAUAGUGAUCCGGUGGUUCUGAAUGGAAGGGCCAUCGCUCAACGGAUAAAAGGUACUCCGGGGAUAACAGGCUGAUACCGCCCAAGAGUUCAUAUCGACGGCGGUGUUUGGCACCUCGAUGUCGGCUCAUCACAUCCUGGGGCUGAAGUAGGUCCCAAGGGUAUGGCUGUUCGCCAUUUAAAGUGGUACGCGAGCUGGGUUUAGAACGUCGUGAGACAGUUCGGUCCCUAUCUGCCGUGGGCGCUGGAGAACUGAGGGGGGCUGCUCCUAGUACGAGAGGACCGGAGUGGACGCAUCACUGGUGUUCGGGUUGUCAUGCCAAUGGCACUGCCCGGUAGCUAAAUGCGGAAGAGAUAAGUGCUGAAAGCAUCUAAGCACGAAACUUGCCCCGAGAUGAGUUCUCCCUGAGACUUUAGGUCUCCUGAAGGAACGUUGAAGACGACGACGUUGAUAGGCCGGGUGUGUAAGCGCAGCGAUGCGUUGAGCUAACCGGUACUAAUGAACCGUGAGGCUUAACCUUACAAC
rnacentral:rRNA from 1 species